rnacentral:lncRNA from 1 species
CUCUGAUACCAAAUUGUGACACCCCGAUUUACAUAAUAAAAUGUUACGAUAAAUAAAUAGCCCUGAUACCAAAAUUGUGACACCCAGAUUUACAUAAUAAAAUGUUACGAUAAAUAAAUAGCUCUGAUACCAAAUUGUGACACCCGUCACUUUCGAAAUAUAAUAAAUAGAUUAAAGCGGAAAUAAAAUAAUAAUACAACUCAAAUAAUAAUAAUAAUUUCCACCAUAAUAUAAAAGUCAAUACGAUAGCAUAACGCCAAAAGGCCCGAUAACGAUAACAUCCGAAAUAUAAAAUACGACAUAAACCGAAAGUCUGAAAUAGGAAUAACAUAAACGAUAAAAGUCCAAAGGCCUAAAGACCCGAUAAAGAUAAAAGCGGUAAAAGCGAUAGAAGCCCAAAAGCCCAAUAG